GAACAAUCCGAGGGAUCACUCUCACGCUCAUGAGAGUAACCAGAAAACGAACCCCAACAAUGUUCAACUGCCUUGAUCGACAUACCAAACAGCUCACCACAGGUUUGCUUGCUGAAUGGAAAAACAACACUUUAAAGUGUCAUUGAAAUGGGAAGCAAUACAGGCUGGACAAUCACAGAAAGAUGCCUCCUGGAUGACUCCUUGUGGACCUCUGCACUCUAUGCAUCUCAGCAGCUGAAAAGUUACCUGGCUGAGGAUGAGCUGAGCAGAGGCAGACAAGGCAGAGAAGUUGUGUGAGGAUGUGUCCAGUCAUCUCCAUCCAAUCUGUAAGAAAGGACUGAAGCUCGGUGUCAAGGAGCACUGUAAAUCCAUUCAUUU